rnacentral:sRNA from 1 species
UUGAAAGUAAAGAUUUAACUACAGAAGAGGUGCAGGGUGAGAAGCAGGAGUGCAAGUUUCCCCACAAACUACUUCACAAGCAGAUUUCAGUACAGUACUGGUGAUCUGUAGAGAGUUAGGAAGUAGUUUGGUCCCUUUUAGUAUCUAGCUUCU